CUUGGUCACCGAUAUACUCCAUAAGAGCAGAGUGGUAUGAAAUAUCGAUUUUCCAUAUAUAGAUAGUGUAAUUUCCAUAUAUAGAUAUGUAACAAUAAAAUUGACAUUUCAUACCACUCUGCUCUUAUGGAGUAUAUCGGUGACCAAG
rnacentral:miRNA from 1 species